GACAACUGGAUGCAAAGCUCCCUGAUUUGAAAGGCCUUCUGAAAGAGAUUUCUAGCAAAAUCAAAUGAACGCAGCUGAAAUCCAAGAGCAGCUGCCUGAGCAGGGUAGCAGUUGCAAGGAGUGAUUUCUCGGAGCUGGCGGUGACCACCAAG